GAGCUCGGAUGUUGCUGGCGAGCUUUCUACCGUUGGGUGCCUUGGGUGCUAGUACUGCAGACGAAGGUCAUCUGCUGUAGAAGCUCGGUCAGGGGCUUUUUGUGGAUGAAGUUCAGUUUCACGUAGAAUCCGAAGAAGGUCGACAGAUAGUGGAUGUCGAAUGGUGCUAGAGAGGUUCACCCGCUAGAGGGGUUCGGCUGCUGGAGCCCGUGCAUCGUAGG
rnacentral:lncRNA from 1 species